rnacentral:lncRNA from 1 species
CAUACCCAUAUGAUUGAGGAGGAGGCUUGAGCCUUGAAUUUCAAGUGGUAGAAGUCGAGAAGAACUGAAUAAGAAACCGUACUCCGUAGAAUAUUUCCCCUACAGACCUACUGGCUAGUGGCUACUGUCGUGCUGCUGCUUCAAGCCUUUGACUUGAGGAGUGAGGAUGGAGGACGGGACCUGUUAGAUGCUUCGACGGUUGUCACAGACUGAUGGUUCGACUUUAACAAGACGAUGCCUGCUUGCUUCCAGUUUCUCAAGGUCCUGUUGGCUGUAUCUUUAUUCUUUAUGCCUACAAAUCAUUUUAUUCCGGGUAUCACUGAGAAUUGAAAUUGAAUUUUAGGGUCUAAACUAAAAUUGAAGGCUGUACUAUUUUUCAUCCUCAUUUUGAUAAUUUGAUUCUUUUUGUUAGCUAACUUUUCAAUCUUAGAUAUUUUCAUACCAAGUUUGUACAUACUAGUGUGUUGUUGGAUAAUUGGAG